rnacentral:tRNA from 1 species
UGUUUUGUGGUUUAGUUGGUUAAAGCACUGACCUUGCGAUACUGUGUCGUGGGUUCGAAUCCCACCAAAACAA